ensembl:lncRNA
ACCCCCAGCUCCCCCCAGCGCAGCCCCCGCUCCAGGAGGCGCCGGGCGGGCGGGACCAGGCGGGGCAGGGAGAGCCGGACGCGGACGAAUGGGGACAGGGAAGCGCCCUGGAAACCCAGGAUACCUGCCGGGAAACACGGGAGAAAAUCGGGGAAAACUCGGGGGAAACACGGGAGAAAAUCGGGAUAAACUCGGGAAAAAUCCGGGAGAAAAUCGGGGAAAAAUCUGGGAGAAAAUCAGGGGAAACACGGGAGAAAUUUGGGAGAAAAUCGGGAGAAAAUCGGGAAAAACUCGGGGGAAACACGGGAGAAAAUCCGGGAGAAAAUCGGGAUAAACUCGGGAAAAAUCCGGGAGAAAAUCAGCAAAAAUCCGGGAGAAAUUUGGGAAAAAUCUGGGAGAAAAUCGGGGAAAAUCCGGGAGAAAAUCCGGGAGAAAAAUCUGGGAGAAAAUCGGGGGAAACACGGGAGAAACUCGGGAAAAAUCCGGGAGAAAAUUGGGAAAAAUCCGGGAGAAAAUUGGGAUAAACUCAGGGGAAAAUCGGGAAAAAUCCGGGAGAAACUCGGGAAAAAUCCGGGAGAAAAUCAAGAUAAACUCAGGGGAAAUCUGGGAGAAAAUCGGGAUAAACUCGGAAAAAUCCGGGAGAAACUCGGGAUCAACUCAGGGGAAAAUCGGGAAAAAUUUGGGAGAAAUUUGGGAAAAAUCCAGGAGAAAAUCGGGGAAAAUCCGGGAGAAACUCGGGAUAAACUCAGAGAAGAUCCGGGAGAAAAUUGGGAUAAACUCAGGGGAAAAUCGGGAAAAAUUUGGGAGAAAUCUGGGAAAAGUUUGGGAAAAGUUCGGGAAAAAAUCGGGAAAAAUCCAGGAAAAGUUUGGGAGAAAUUUGGGAAAAGUUCAGGAAAAAUUUGGGAAGAAUUCAGGAGAAAUUUGGGAAAAAUUCAGGAAAUUUGGAAAAAAUCACCAAAUCCCGAAUUUUGGGACCCCAGGACCAAUCCCAGCCUCCCCAAAUCCCGGAUUUUGGGCUCCCAAAAUUCCCAAAUCCCAAAUUUUGGGACCCCAGGACCAAUCCCAGCCUUCCCAGCCUCCCCAAAUCCCAAAUUUUGGGACCCCAGGAUGAAUUUUGGGAUCCCAGCCUCCCCAAAUCCCGGAUUUCGGGCUCCCAGCCUCCCCAAAUCCCGGAUUUCGGGCUCCCAAAAUUCCCAAAUCCCGGAUUUUGGGCUCCCAGGAUCAAUCCCAGCCUUCCCAAAAUUCCCAAAUCCCGGAUUUUGGGACCCCGGGGCCGUUUCCCGAGGGAAUCCCGGGGUUUUUGGGAUCUCACUUUGCUUCCAGAGCAGCUCCAGCCCCAGGACGUUUUUGGGGGGCCGGAGUUUGGGGCUCCCCCCGCGCUGCUCCCGGCUCAGCUCCCGCUCCAGCUCCCGCUCCAGCGGCUCCAGGUGCUCCCGGCCGGCCCCUGGCGACGACAGUUCCCAAAAAAUCCCCCUGGGAUCCCGCAGAAUUCCCAAAAAUCCCACUGGGAUCCCGCAGAAUUCCCAAAAAUUCCCAAAAAUCCCACUGGAAUCCCAAAAAAUUCCCACGGAAUUCCCGAAAAUCCCACCCAAAUCCCCCCGGAAUUCCCAAAAUUCCUCCAAAAUCCUUCCCCAAAACGCAGAUUUUUAUGGGAAUUUUGGGAUUUUUUUGGGAAUUUUUUUGUUGGAAUUUCAGGAUUUUUUUAGGAAUUUUUGCCGGAAUUUUGGGAUUUUUAUGGGAUUUUUCUGGGAAUUUUGUGAUUUUUUGUGGAUUUUUUUGGGAAUUCUGGGAUUUUCCCCCCCAGGGAUUUUUGGGGUGAAUCCCUGAGGUUUUGGGGUCUCACCUGGGGACACCAAAGGUCGAUUUUGGGGGCGGAUUUGGGAUUUUUUUGGGAUUUUUUGUGGGAAUUUUGCCAUUUUUUUGGAUUUUUUUUGCCAUUUUUUUGUGAUUUUUUUGGGGAUUUUUUUGGGAAUUCCGGGAUUUUCCCCCCCAGGGAUUUUUGGGGUGAAUCCCUGAGGUUUUGGGGUCUCACCUGGGGGCGCCAGGACGUAGAAGUAGGGG